CAAAUGUAGAAGCCAAUUAAGCUCGAAAGCUUCUGUGUGUUUUUCUGGGGGGUCCAGGAUUCACUAGGGCAAAACUGGAAACUUGCAAGAAUAUCUGCAUUUAGCCAGGAGGAGCUUCCUAUGAAAAGCUGUUACUGCUUCAAAACCUGUAAGCACAACUGCUAGGAACGUGGGGAACUACUCCUGAAGGUUGAAAGAUGCUCAGCUAUGGCACUGCAGAGUGCUGCAGAGGCUUCUGGAAUAAUGUAAGGGAAUCAGAUGAAUGCCUAACUAAUCCUCUUCUUUGGAAAGGCUCGCAGAAGAAUGAGGCAAUGAAAAGAGGAUGUAAAAGAAUAUAAAAGCAGAUGCAACGAAUGUCUUUAAAGCAGCAACAUGGGUGGAUGGAAGCCAAAGGAAUGAGAAAUAGAAGGGAGAUGGAAACAGCUGUGAUUGGUUAAACUACAAAUUUCUGAGCUGGCUGAAGAGAGGAUGCUAUAGCCUUUAUAUUGGGUUUCAUGCUGUUUAAGUAAGAAAGUAAUCAGAUUGUAAGGUGGAGAUCGAGUGCAUGAAUAUGUUGAUGAAAAAAAAAAAGAAAAAAAAGAUUUGUCCUGGACAUAGAUGGCAUUUGAUUCUUGCUGAUCUUAUUGUAGGGCAAUACACCUCAUAAAGUGCCAAUACUUUAGGACAAGAAUGUGCUACACCUACCUUAUGCUGU
ensembl:lncRNA